UGGGGCUUGGUGCAAGCAGGUUAGGCAGCCAGUGUUGGUGCAGUGCUGUUUACUGAAGUUGGCUCAUGCUGAGGAGCAGGGGAGGGAAAUGGCACUAGCCAGCUUUGUCCCUAGUGAGGGGAGUUUGUGCUUGCUGCUAUCAGGGAAGACCUCCUAGAGGAGUGAAUAAUUUCCCCUCAUGCAUCCUAGGUGUUUUUCAGAUUGCUGUUUUCCCAAUGUCUGUAUCCGGGUUGCUUGCCUGUUUGGAGCAGCACAGAACACUUUGGGCUCUAUCCCAGCCAGGCUGGCUGAGUUUUAAAACUCCAAACUUUAGGGACCUGGUGUGGUGGCGACCCGCACUGAUCUUCUGGGGUGGGUCUUGGCUCGCUGGGAUCGAUGCACAUUUGACCCGGAAAGGCGGCUGCACCAGCACGCAGCAUGGAGUUUGGAGCAAACUGCACUGAAGAACCAGCGUCCAGGACCAUUCCCUGGGGAUGCCAGCUACCAUGCCAUGAGGUCAAGCAGCGUGAAGGGGUCCAUACGGCGAGGAAGCGCCAGCUUGCCAGCUGUAAAAGUCAUCCUACAAGUGUGUCCUCCAGUCCUAAGCAAGUCUUCAGAUGACUGCAGCUCUGACAUCUUGACUACCACCUCUGAGCCACUGUGGCCAGAACUACCUAGAAAUACCCACUCCUGAAUUCUGGACCCACAGAAACAAUGUGACGCACUGGUCAGUUUGGAACCGGAACCCGUGAGACUCCGCACAGCCCCGUCUGUACUCUGGAGGUGCCCCGUCGUCGGAGUCUUGCUGUUCCGUGACAUGUAAUUGGACAUGGCACAGGAGGAGAGUGACGGAAGCAGGGGCUGAAUCCAGGAUCUGUCACCCUCCCACUGACCUGCUGCUCUGACCUCGGUUUUCCAUCAUCCAACACUUAAUAAAUAAUAGCAGCCUCUACGGCACCCACUGCUGUGAGGAUUAAGCAAGAUGCUAUGUAUCAGAGGCUGGGAACAGUGCCUCAUACGCAGUGAACGCUCAGAGAAUGCUGGCUGUUACUACUACCGUGACAUGUAUGUACCUACACAUAUGGGAGAUUAGAUCUGAAGCUAAUUGGCAGAGUUAUUAAAGACAAACAACUGAUGUUUUAAAAUCUGAAUUAGACAGUCUGUAUUCUAACACACACACGCACACACAGACACACACACACAAUCUGUACCAAUUAAAUACAAUAAAGUUGAAAGGGGAUAUAAAUUACAAUUUUCCUUUUUUUUUUU